UAUUGAUUGGUGCUUGCAUCAUGAUUUACAUUUGAGUGAGUGGCGAACUGGUGAGUAACACGUGGGAAACCUGCCCAGAAGCGGGGGAUAACACCUGGAAACAGAUGCUAAUACCGCAUAACAACUUGGACCGCAUGGUCCGAGUUUGAAAGAUGGCUUCGGCUAUCACUUUUGGAUGGUCCCGCGGCGUAUUAGCUAGAUGGUGGGGUAACGGCUCACCAUGGCAAUGAUACGUAGCCGACCUGAGAGGGUAAUCGGCCACAUUGGGACUGAGACACGGCCCAAACUCCUACGGGAGGCAGCAGUAGGGAAUCUUCCACAAUGGACGAAAGUCUGAUGGAGCAACGCCGCGUGAGUGAAGAAGGGUUUCGGCUCGUAAAACUCUGUUGUUAAAGAAGAACAUAUCUGAGAGUAACUGUUCAGGUAUUGACGGUAUUUAACCAGAAAGCCACGGCUAACUACGUGCCAGCAGCCGCGGUAAUACGUAGGUGGCAAGCGUUGUCCGGAUUUAUUGGGCGUAAAGCGAGCGCAGGCGGUUUUUUAAGUCUGAUGUGAAAGCCUUCGGCUCAACCGAAGAAGUGCAUCGGAAACUGGGAAACUUGAGUGCAGAAGAGGACAGUGGAACUCCAUGUGUAGCGGUGAAAUGCGUAGAUAUAUGGAAGAACACCAGUGGCGAAGGCGGCUGUCUGGUCUGUAACUGACGCUGAGGCUCGAAAGUAUGGGUAGCAAACAGGAUUAGAUACCCUGGUAGUCCAUACCGUAAACGAUGAAUGCUAAGUGUUGGAGGGUUUCCGCCCUUCAGUGCUGCAGCUAACGCAUUAAGCAUUCCGCCUGGGGAGUACGGCCGCAAGGCUGAAACUCAAAGGAAUUGACGGGGGCCCGCACAAGCGGUGGAGCAUGUGGUUUAAUUCGAAGCUACGCGAAGAACCUUACCAGGUCUUGACAUACUAUGCAAAUCUAAGAGAUUAGACGUUCCCUUCGGGGACAUGGAUACAGGUGGUGCAUGGUUGUCGUCAGCUCGUGUCGUGAGAUGUUGGGUUAAGUCCCGCAACGAGCGCAACCCUUAUUAUCAGUUGCCAGCAUUAAGUUGGGCACUCUGGUGAGACUGCCGGUGACAAACCGGAGGAAGGUGGGGAUGACGUCAAAUCAUCAUGCCCCUUAUGACCUGGGCUACACACGUGCUACAAUGGAUGGUACAACGAGUUGCGAACUCGCGAGAGUAAGCUAAUCUCUUAAAGCCAUUCUCAGUUCGGAUUGUAGGCUGCAACUCGCCUACAUGAAGUCGGAAUCGCUAGUAAUCGCGGAUCAGCAUGCCGCGGUGAAUACGUUCCCGGGCCUUGUACACACCGCCCGUCACACCAUGAGAGUUUGUAACACCCAA
rnacentral:rRNA from 2 species